rnacentral:rRNA from 1 species
UACGGGGGGGGCAAGCGUUGUUCGGAAUUACUGGGCGUAAAGGGCUCGUAGGCGGCCAACUAAGUCCGACGUGAAAUCCCCAGGCUUAACCUGGGAACUGCGUCGGAUACUGGAUGGCUUGAAUCCGGGAGAGGGAUGCGGAAUUCCAGGUGUAGCGGUGAAAUGCGUAGAUAUCUGGAGGAACACCGGUGGCGAAGGCGGCAUUCUGGACCGGCAUUGACGCUGAUGAGCGAAAGCCAGGGGAGCAAACGGG